rnacentral:rRNA from 1 species
AGGGCAUUUCGUGGAUGCCUUGGCAUGCACAGGCGAUGAAGGACGUGGCACGCUGCGAUAAGCGUCGGUGAGUUGUGAGCAAACUUUGACCCGACGAUUUCCGAAUGGGGAAACCCACCUUUACCAUUUAAUUUCAGUGCUGGUUCGCCAGUAUUGGAGUUAAGUGGAACGAAGGUAUUACCGAGGUGAAUAAAAUAGCCUUGGUAAAGCGAACCCGGGGAACUGAAACAUCUCAGUACCUGGAGGAAAAGACAUCAACCGAGAUUCCGUUAGUAGUGGCGAGCGAACGCGGACCAGGCCAAUGCCUGAAGUUCAACCAGCAGAAUAACCUGGAAAGGUUAGCCAUAGCGGGUGACAGCCCCGUAUGUGAAAGUGAGACUUCAGGAUUCGAGUAGGGCGGGACACGUGUAAUCCUGUCUGAACAUGGGGGGACCACCCUCCAAGCCUAAAUACUCGUGCAUGACCGAUAGCGAACUAGUACCGUGAGGGAAAGGUGAAAAGCACCCCGAUUAGGGGAGUGAAACAGUACCUGAAACGGAAUGCCUACAAUCAGUUGGAGCCUCUUUAUGGGGUGACAGCGUACCUCUUGUAUAAUGGGUCUGUGACUUAAUGUAUCGAGCAAGCUUAAGCCGUUAGGUGUAGGCGCAGCGAAAGCGAGUCUGAAUAGGGCGACUGAGUUCGAUGUAUUAGACCCGAACCCCGGCGAUCUAGGCAUGGCCAGGAUGAAGGUGCGGUAACACGCACUGGAGGUCCGAACCGAUUAACGUUGAAAAGUUAUCGGAUGAGCUGUGUUUAGGGGUGAAAGGCCAAUCAAGCCGGGAAAUAGCUGGUUCUCCGCGAAAACUAUUGAGGUAGUGCCUCGGAUGUUUACCGAUGGGGGUAGAGCACUGGAUGGAUGCGGGGGUCGCGAGAUCUACCAACUCUAACCAAACUCCGAAUACCAUCGAGUAUAGUCCGGGAGACAGACGGCGGGUGCUAAGGUCCGUCGUCGAGAGGGAAACAGCCCUGACCAACAGCUAAGGUCCCCAAAUCGUAUCUAAGUGGGAAAGCAUGUGGGAUUUCCAAAACAACCAGGAGGUUGGCUUAGAAGCAGCCAUCCUUUAAAGAAAGCGUAACAGCUCACUGGUCUAAACAAGAGAUCCUGCGGCGAAGAUGUAACGGGGCUCAAGAUACGUACCGAAGCUUUGGGUUUGACGUAAGUCAAGCGGUAGCGGAGCGUUCCGUAAGCCUGUGAAGCGAUCUGGUAAUGGGUCGUGGAGGUAUCGGAAGUGCGAAUGCAGACAUGAGUAGCGAUAAAGGGGGUGAGAUGCCCCCUCGCCGAAAUCCCAAGGGUUCCUGCGCAAGGCUAAUCCGCGCAGGGUAAGUCGGCCCCUAAGACGAGCCCGAAGGGGGUAGUCGAUGGGAAUCUGGUUAACAUUCCAGAACCUGGUGGUGUGUGACGGAUCACGUAAAUUGUUCACCCUUAUUGGAUUGGGUGGGCUUUGAAGUGGUUCCAGGAAAUAGCCCCACCGUAUAGACCGUACCCUAAACCGACACAGGUGGGAUGGUAGAGUAUACCAAGGCGCUUGAGAGAAGUCUCCUGAAGGAACUCGGCAAAUUGCCUCCGUACCUUCGGAAGAAGGAGGCCCCAUCUAGGCGCAAGCUCUGAUGGGGGGCACAGGCCAGGGGGUAGCGACUGUUUAGCAAAAACACAGGACUCUGCUAAGUCGGCUUCAAGACGACGUAUAGGGUCUGACGCCUGCCCGGUGCCUGAAGGUUAAGUGGAGUGGUGCAAGCUGCGAAAUGAAGCCCAGGUAAACGGCGGCCGUAACUAUAACGGUCCUAAGGUAGCGAAAUUCCUUGUCGGGUAAGUUCCGACCUGCACGAAUGGCGUAACGACUUCCCCACUGUCUCCAGGAGAUGCUCAGCGAAAUUGAAUUGCCCGUGAAGAUGCGGGCUACCCGCGGUUAGACGGAAAGACCCCGUGCACCUUUACUGCAGCUUCAGAGUGGCAUUAGGAAAGAACUGUGUAGCAUAGGUGGGAGGCUUUGAAGCAUCGGCGCCAGCUGAUGUGGAGCCAUAGGUGAAAUACCACCCUGUUGUUUUCUGAUGUCUAACCACGCACCGUUAUCCGGUGCUGGGACCCUCUGUGGCGGGUAGUUUGACUGGGGCGGUCGCCUCCUAAAGAGUAACGGAGGCGCGCGAUGGUGGGCUCAGGACGGUUGGAAACCGUCUGUUAGAGUGCAAUGGCAUAAGCCCGCCUGACUGCGAGACUGACAAGUCGAGCAGAGACGAAAGUCGGUCAUAGUGAUCCGGUGGUCCC